GAUGAACGCUGGCGGCGUGCCUAAUACAUGCAAGUCGAGCGAACGGACGAGAAGCUUGCUUCUCUGAUGUUAGCGGCGGACGGGUGAGUAACACGUGGAUAACCUACCUAUAAGACUGGUAUAACUUCGGGAAACCGGAGCUAAUACCGGAUAAUAUUUUGAACCGCAUGGUUCAAAAGUGAAAGACGGUCUUGCUGUCACUUAUAGAUGGAUCCGCGCUGCAUUAGCUAGUUGGUAAGGUAACGGCUUACCAAGGCAACGAUGCAUAGCCGACCUGAGAGGGUGAUAGGCCACACUGGAACGGAGACACGGUCCAGAGUCCUACGGGAGGCAGCAGUAGGGAAUCUUCCGCAAAGGGCGAAAGCCUGACGGAGCAACGCCGCGUGAGUGAUGAAGGUCUUCGGAUCGUAAAACUCUGUUAUUAGGGAAGAACAUAUGUGUAAGUAACUGUGCACAGCUUGACGGUACCUAAUCAGAAAGCCACGGCUAACUACGUG
rnacentral:rRNA from 1 species